rnacentral:lncRNA from 1 species
UGUUGUCGCGGAUGGCUGAAAAUCAAUUAACCGGAGGCGUGUAAUCACUGAACUAAGGAAUUAUCCGCAAAUAUUGCGCAACUCCCCCAGAAUACAACCGGUUCUUCUCGGUGAUAAACGUACCGAGGCUAUCAAGACACAAGAAUAUAAACAAGGUUGAUAACUCAGGCACUGUUUUUCAUAAACUUAUAAAUUCCCAAAGCUUUGUAUGUAUAUAUAUGGAGUAAAGUUAUACUUCUCUGGGCUCACUCCUUUUCCACUAAAACCGUUUUU